UCUCGCUCUGUCGCCCAGGCUGGAGUGCAGUAUCGCGAUAUCGGUUCGCUGCAAGCUCCGCCUCCCGGGGUCACGUCAUUCUCCUGCCUCAGCUUCCGGAGCAGCUGGGACUGCUGGCGCCCGCCACUACGCUCGGCUAAUUUUUUUGUGUUUUUAGUAGAGACGGGCUUUCACCGUGUUGGCCUAGCGGUUCUCCAACUCCUGACCUCAUGAUCCCCCCGCCUCAGCCUCCCAAAGUGCUGGGAUUACAAGCGUGAGCCACCGCGACCCGCCAACACUCUUGACAACAGUGCUGUGCUAAGAACUUGGGGGACUUCAAAAAGUUCACCAGUUCCUGUGUCCAUGGGUGAAAAGAUUUUCUACAUCUUUCCUUGACUAGAAACAGAAGUCCUGAAACAAGAAUAUAACGUCAGGAGGCCAGAGGCUUUGUCCUGCCUAAUGUGUUAUUUCCACACUGAAUAAAAGCACCUGAGUCCUGCAUUUUAAAAAGGUUGUACAUCUAGCAAUACCUAACAAAAUAGGAAAUCAACUUGGGGAUUCUGCUUUUGCAUCUUCCUCGUUUUCUCUUGCCGCUGCCAAGUAAGAAGUGCCUUUCACCUCACACCAUGUUUCUGAGGCCUCCCCAGCCAUGUGGAACUGCAAGUCCAGUUAAACCUCUUUUUCUUCUCAGGGCUACCUUAAUGAGCAGCCAGGAUGCCAUCAUCUCCGACCUGAAUGACAAUAACCUCCAAACCAGCCUUUGUAUACUCCUUCCUGCUGCUCUGCAGUCCACUUCCACAGACCAGCCAACUGAAUCUCCUUAUAGAUUCAUAAUGGCCAUCAGCACAAAGAUGUUUUAUCUGCAGUCAACCAGUCAUGUUUCAUGAUGGCAUCAAAAUAUCUCAAGAUGAUCUUAUAACUACAUCUGAAAGGCUGUUGAGCCCCCAUCCUCAUCAGAGUUCAUCUCUUCCAAUGCAUGCACAUGUGCAGUCCAUCUGCCAGGCAUGAAGUAAAUAUAAAAUUGACCUUCUUCAGAAAAGAAGGAAGACCCAGGUGCUGGAAAAGGUCAGAGAAAAUCAUCAUCAUAAAGUGAAGUGAUUUUCUUCUUUAUGAGCUCCUGAUGUAAACAGACUGAUGAGCACAACACAAUCCUUACUCACCCACAUGACAUCAUACACAAUCACAGCUAAAUGUUUCUAUCUGUCAAAGCCUGAAGAGUGACUACCAGAUUGUUGCCUGAUUGAUUUGACAGUUUGGUCUACAUUUCAAGGCUGGUUAGAUGGGAGGUAUGUCCUGGUAUAUUAGUUAAUUUAGGUAUAUCUUACUGAUUUACAUUGCAUGAUUUAUCAGAUGCUAUUGACUCAUUCAAGUAAAUACAUUUAAAAAUUAUACCUUUUGCUCAUACUAG
rnacentral:lncRNA from 1 species